AGGGCACCACCAGGAGCAGAGCCUGCGGCUUAAUUUGACUCAACACGGGGAAACUUACCCGGCCUGGACACUGGAAGGAUUGACGGAUUGAGAGCUCUUUCUUGAUUCAGUGGGUGGUGGUGCAUGGCCGUUCUUAGUUGGUGGAGCGAUUUGUCUGGUUAAUUCCGAUAACGAACGAGACUCUAGCCUAUUAAAUAGGCUCCCGGCUUUUAAACGCCGGGAGGACUUCUUAGAGGGACAGGUGGCGGUUCAGCCGCACGAAAGAGAGCAAUAACAGGUCUGUGAUGCCCUUUGUUGUCCGGGGCCGCACGCGCGCUACACUGAAGAGAUCAGCGUGCUUUAUGUUCCUGCUCCGACCGGAGUGGGGAACCCCCUGAACCUCCUUCGCGAGAUGGGGAUAGAAUUUUGUAUUUUCUUUUUGAGAACGAAAUUUUCCCUAUAAAUGCGAGUCAUAAUCUCGCUUUGAUUACGUCCCUGCCCUUUGUACACACCGCCUGUCUCUACUACCGAUUGAAAUAU
rnacentral:rRNA from 1 species